AUUGAACGCUGGCGGCAGGCCUAACACAUGCAAGUCGAGCGGGAACUUCGGUUCUAGCGGCGGACGGGUGAGUAAUGCGUAGGAAGCUACCCGACAGAGGGGGAUACCAGUUGGAAACGACUGUUAAUACCGCAUAAUGUCUACGGACCAAAGUGUGGGACCUUCGGGCCACAUGCUGUCGGAUGCGCCUACGUGGGAUUAGCUAGUUGGUGAGGUAAUGGCUCACCAAGGCGACGAUCCCUAGCUGGUUUGAGAGGAUGAUCAGCCACACUGGAACUGAGACACGGUCCAGACUCCUACGGGAGGCAGCAGUGGGGAAUAUUGGACAAUGGGCGCAAGCCUGAUCCAGCCAUGCCGCGUGUGUGAAGAAGGCCUUCGGGUUGUAAAGCACUUUCAGUAGGGAGGAAGAGUUGAGUGUUAAUAGUACUCAGCUUUGACGUUACCUACAGAAGAAGCACCGGCUAACUCUGUGCCAGCCGCCGCGGUAA
rnacentral:rRNA from 1 species